rnacentral:misc_RNA from 1 species
UUGCGGCUGGAUCACCUCCUUUCUAAGGAUGGUUCUUCAGAAGCUUGCUUCUAUCGAACCGUUUUAGAAACAUCAGUGGCCAACAAUCGUCAGGAUUGUUGAGCUGCAUUGGCGGGAUUUCGCCGUCUUCGUUUCUCUUUCUUCGCGGACGAACACGCGCCAGGGGCUUAGCGCUGUGCGAAGGUUUUGCGCUGUGCAUCGGCGCGGCCGGUUGCGCGCAGGCAUGCCCCUGAUCCUUCCACGAGAAGGAGCGUUAGGGGCUUGUANCUCAGUUGGUUAGAGCGCGCGCUUGAUAAGCGUGA